rnacentral:misc_RNA from 1 species
UCAAACUUGGUCAUUUAGAGGAAGUAAAAGUCGUAACAAGGUUUCCGUAGGUGAACCUGCGGAAGGAUCAUUACAGAGAACGGGUGCUUUGACGCCUGAAUUCUCCACCCUUGCCUACACAAGACAGUUGCUUUGGCGGGCCGCGAAUUUUAUUUCCCACCGGAAUUUCCGGCGAGUGCCCGCCGGAGGCUCAUUAAAAUCUUGCUUAAACAAUCAGUCUGAACAGUGGAUAAAUUAAAUGCAGCUAAAAACUUUCAACAACGGAUCUCUUGGUUCUGGCAUCAAUGAAGAACGCAGC